rnacentral:rRNA from 1 species
AAGUCUGACGGAGCAACGCCGCGUGAGUGAUGAAGGUUUUCGGAUCGUAAAGCUCUGUUGUUAGGGAAGAACAAGUGCAAGAGUAACUGCUUGCACCUUGACGGUACCUAACCAGAAAGCCACGGCUAACUACGUGCCAGCAGCCGCGGUAAUACGUAGGUGGCAAGCGUUGUCCGGAAUUAUUGGGCGUAAAGGGCUCGCAGGCGGUUUCUUAAGUCUGAUGUGAAAGCCCCCGGCUCAACCGGGGAGGGUCAUUGGAAACUGGGAAACUUGAGUGCAGAAGAGGAGAGUGGAAUUCCACGUGUAGCGGUGAAAUGCGUAGAGAUGUGGAGGAACACCAGUGGCGAAGGCGACUCUCUGGUCUGUAACUGACGCUGAGGAGCGAAAGCGUGGGGAGCGAACAGGAUUAGAUACCCUGGUAGUCCACGCCGUAAACGAUGAGUGCUAAGUGUUAGGGGGUUUCCGCCCCUUAGUGCUGCAGCUAACGCAUUAAGCACUCCGCCUGGGGAGUACGGUCGCAAGACUGAAACUCAAAGGAAUUGACGGGGGCCCGCACAAGCGGUGGAGCAUGUGGUUUAAUUCGAAGCAACGCGAAGAACCUUACCAGGUCUUGACAUCCUCUGACAACCCUAGAGAUAGGGCUUUCCCUUCGGGGACAGAGUGACAGGUGGUGCAUGGUUGUCGUCAGCUCGUGUCGUGAGAUGUUGGGUUAAGUCCCGCAACGAGCGCAACCCUUGA